CCUACGGGUGGCAGCAGUGGGGAAUAUUGGACAAUGGGCGAAAGCCUGAUCCAGCCAUGCCGCGUGUGUGAAGAAGGCCUUCGGGUUGUAAAGCACUUUCAGUGGGGAAGAAAGCCUUGGGGCUAAUACCCUCGAGGAAGGACAUCACCCACAGAAGAAGCACCGGCUAACUCCGUGCCAGCAGCCGCGGUAAUACGGAGGGUGCGAGCGUUAAUCGGAAUUACUGGGCGUAAAGCGCGCGUAGGCGGUCUGAUAAGCCGGUUGUGAAAGCCCCGGGCUCAACCUGGGAACGGCAUCCGGAACUGUCAGGCUAGAGUGCAGGAGAGGAAGGUAGAAUUCCCGGUGUAGCGGUGAAAUGCGUAGAGAUCGGGAGGAAUACCAGUGGCGAAGGCGGUCUUCUGGACUGACACUGACGCUGAGGUGCGAAAGCGUGGGUAGCAAACAGGAUUAGAUACCCCAGUAGUC
rnacentral:rRNA from 1 species